rnacentral:lncRNA from 1 species
UUGAUUAAUUGAGUAAACUGAAUAUUCAUGUUAUGAAACAUAUAUUGGAAAAAAAUAUUUUAAUUCGUCUCCAUUUACUCGCCUUUAGAUAGUUUAGAUGGUGUCUGUUUACUCACUAGGAUUUUAUAAUCUCACCACCCUCAAUUCCUCACAUUUCAGGCUUGGGAUAGCCGGUAGAUAGCCGAUUGCAUCAAGGACUUCAGUUAGCCUUGCAUCGACAAAAUUGUAGGUUCACAAACUUGCAUCUUAUUGGUUAGUUGGGGGCCCACGUGUCAUUGUAAAAGUAAUUUUAUACUUUAGUUAUUUGAUUUAAA